UACGUAGGGGGCAAGCGUUAUCCGGAUUCACUGGGUGUAAAGGGAGCGUAGACGGCCGUGCAAGCCUGGAGUGAAAGCCCGGGGCCCAACCCCGGGACUGCUCUGGGAACUGUGUGGCUGGAGUGCGGGAGGGGCAGGCGGAAUUCCUGGUGUAGCGGUGAAAUGCGUAGAUAUCAGGAGGAACACCGGCGGCGAAGGCGGCCUGCUGGACCGCGACUGACGUUGAGGCUCGAAAGCGUGGGGAGCAAACAGG
rnacentral:rRNA from 1 species